GCGCGAAAACUUUACAAUGCGGGAAACCGUGAUAAGGGAACCCCCGAGUGCCCGUAAAUCCGGGCUGUCCAUCUGUGUAAAUAGCAGGUGAAGAAAGGGCCGGGCAAGACCGGUGCCAGCCGCCGCGGUAAUACCGGCGGCUCGAGUGGUGGCCACUAUUACUGGGCUUAAAGCGUCCGUAGCUGGAUUGUUAAGUCUCCUGGGAAAUCUACCGGCUCAACCGAUAGGCGUUCAGGGGAUACUGGCAAUCUAGGGACCGGAAGAGGUGAGAGGUACUCCAGGGGUAGGAGUGAAAUCCUGUAAUCCUUGGGGGACCACCUGUGGCGAAGGCGUCUCACCAGGACGGCUCCGACAGUGAGGGACGAAAGCUGGGGGAGCAAACCGGAUUAGAUACCCGGGUAGUCCCAGCUGUAAACG
rnacentral:rRNA from 1 species